rnacentral:misc_RNA from 1 species
AACGCACAUUGCGCCCUCCGGUACUCCGGGGGGCAUACCUGUUCGAGCGCCGUUGUACUACUAAGGCUCAGCCUUGCGGUGGCCGACGCCUUUUCCACCAGUUUUUCUGGAUGGGAAGAGGUGCGGUCGAAACCCAUGGGCGCGUCCUCGCAGUCGUCCAGCGUAGCAAGUCUCUCGCUGAACGUGCCGGGGAGGAGGCGCCAAUUGUAUACACGAACGCUUGGCCUCGAAUCAGGUAGGGAUACCCGCUGAACUUAA